rnacentral:rRNA from 1 species
UUCAGCAGCCCCCGCGUAAUUCCAGCUCCAAUAGCGUAUAUUAAAGUUGUUGUGGUUAAAAAGCUCGUAGUUGAACCUUGGGCCUGGCUGGCCGGUCCGCCUCACCGCGUGAACUGGUCCGGCCGGGCCUUUCCCUCUGCGGAACCCCAUGCCCUUCACUGGGUGUGGCGGGGAAACAGGACUUUUACUUUGAAAAAAUUAGAGUGCUCAAGGCAGGCCUAUGCUCGAAUACAUUAGCAUGGAAUAAUAGAAUAGGACGUGUGGUUCUAUUUUGUUGGUUUCUAGGACCGCCGUAAUGAUUAAUAGGGACAGUCGGGGGCAUCAGUAUUCAAUUGUCAGAGGUGAAAUUCUUGGAUUUAUUGAAGACUAACUACUGCGAAAGCAUUUGCCAAGGAUGUUUUCAUUAAUCAGGAACGAAAGUUAGGGGAUCGAAGACGAUCAGAUACCGUCGUAGUCUUAACCAUAAACUAUGCCGACUAGGGAUCGUGACGAUGUUACAUUUUUGACGCGUUCGGCACCUUACGAGAAAUCAAAGUGCUUGGGCUCCAGGGGGAGUAUGGUCGCAAGGCUGAAACUUAAAGAAAUUGACGGAAGGGCACCACCAGGGGUGGAGCCUGCGGCUUAAUUUGACUCAACACGGGA